GACGAACGCUGGCGGCGUGCUUAACACAUGCAAGUCGAACGGAAAGGCCCUGCUUUUGUGGGGUGCUCGAGUGGCGAACGGGUGAGUAACACGUGAGUAACCUGCCCUUGACUUUGGGAUAACUUCAGGAAACUGGGGCUAAUACCGGAUAGGAGCUCCUGCUGCAUGGUGGGGGUUGGAAAGUUUCGGCGGCUGGGGAUGGACUCGCGGCUUAUCAGCUUGUUGGUGGGGUAGUGGCUUACCAAGGCUUUGACGGGUAGCCGGCCUGAGAGGGUGACCGGCCACAUUGGGACUGCGAUACGGCCCAGACUCCUACGGGAGGCAGCAGGGGGGAAUAUUGCACAAUGGGCGGAAGCCUGAUGCAGCAACGCCGCGUGCGGGAUGACGGCCUUCGGGUUGUAAACCGCUUUCGCCUGUGACGAAGCGUGAGUGACGGUAAUGGGUAAAGAAGCACCGGCUAACUACGUG
rnacentral:rRNA from 1 species